GAUCAAUGAUGAAAAUAGCCAAAUCUGAGCAUCAGAAGACCUUUUGGUCUGCUUGGUGCAUGAUCUCUAUAGUUCUGAGA
rnacentral:snoRNA from 1 species